rnacentral:rRNA from 1 species
AAAAAAGGUAAGCUACUAAGAGCGAAUGGUGGAUGCCUUGACUGGUAAAGGCGAUGAAGGACGUACUAGACUGCGAUAAGCUACGGGGAGCUGUCAAGAAGCUUUGAUCCGUAGAUUUCCGAAUGGGGCAACCCAAUGUAUAGAGAUAUACAUUACCUAUAUAGGAGCGAACGAGGGGAAUUGAAACAUCUUAGUACUCUCAGGAAAAGAAAUCAAUAGAGAUUGCGUCAGUAGCGGCGAGCGAAAGCGCAAGAGGGCAAACCCAGUGCUUGCACUGGGGGUUGUAGGACUGCAAUGUGCAAGAGGUAAGUUUAGCAGAACAUUCUGGAAAGUAUAACCAUAGAGGGUGAUAGUCCCGUAUGCGAAAAACAAACCUUAGCUAGCAGUAUCCUGAGUAGGGCGGGACACGAGGAAUCCUGUCUGAAUCCGGGUCGACCACGAUCCAACCCUAAAUACUAAUACCAGAUCGAUAGUGCACAAGUACCGUGAGGGAAAGGUGAAAAGAACUGAGGUGAUCAGAGUGAAAUAGAACCUGAAACCAUUUGCUUACAAUCAUUCAGAGCCCUAUGUAGCAAUACAGGGUGAUGGACUGCCUUUUGCAUAAUGAGCCUGCGAGUUGUGGUGUCUGGCAAGGUUAAGCAAACGCGAAGCCGUAGCGAAAGCGAGUCUGAAUAGGGCGCUUAGUCAGAUGCUGCAGACCCGAAACGAAGUGAUCUAUCCAUGAGCAAGUUGAAGCUAGUGUAAGAACUAGUGGAGGACUGAACCCAUAGGCGUUGAAAAGCCCCGGGAUGACUUGUGGAUAGGGGUGAAAGGCCAAUCAAACUUCGUGAUAGCUGGUUCUCUCCGAAAUAUAUUUAGGUAUAGCGUUGUGUCGUAAUAUAAGGGGGUAGAGCACUGAAUGGGCUAGGGCAUACACCAAUGUACCAAACCCUAUCAAACUCCGAAUACCUUAUAUGUAAUCACAGCAGUCAGGCGGCGAGUGAUAAAAUCCGUCGUCAAGAGGGAAACAACCCAGACUACCAGCUAAGGUCCCUAAGUCUUACUUAAGUGGAAAACGAUGUGAAGUUACUUAAACAACCAGGAGGUUGGCUUAGAAGCAGCCAUCCUUUAAAGAAAGCGUAAUAGCUCACUGGUCUAGUGAUUUUGCGCGGAAAAUAUAACGGGGCUAAAGUAAGUACCGAAGCUGUAGACUUGCGCACAACUUAGAUUAUUUAAGUUUAGAAUAUGAGAAACUAAGUUAUGUUUAGUUAUAUUUUUACUGAUUUUUAUAGAGUAAAGAUAGAAAUAAAACUUAGUAAAAUCAGUAAAAAUAUUCUUAGGCUAAAGUUAAGUAGUUUAAGUUGUGUGCAAGUGGUAGGAGAGCGUUCUAUUUGCGUCGAAGGUAUACCGGUAAGGAGUGCUGGAGCGAAUAGAAGUGAGCAUGCAGGCAUGAGUAGCGAUAAUUAAUGUGAGAAUCAUUAACGCCGUAAACCCAAGGUUUCCUACGCGAUGCUCGUCAUCGUAGGGUUAGUCGGGUCCUAAGUCGAGUCCGAAAGGGGUAGACGAUGGCAAAUUGGUUAAUAUUCCAAUACCAACAUUAGUGUGCGAUGGAAGGACGCUUAGGGCUAAGGGGGCUAGCGGAUGGAAGUGCUAGUCUAAGGUCGUAGGAGGUUAUACAGGCAAAUCCGUAUAACAAUACUCCGAGAACUGAAAGGCUUUUUGAAGUCUUCGGAUGGAUAGAAGAACCCCUGAUGCCGUCGAGCCAAGAAAAGUUUCUAAGUUUAGCUAAUGUUGCCCGUACCGUAAACCGACACAGGUGGGUGGGAUGAGUAUUCUAAGGCGCGUGGAAGAACUCUCUUUAAGGAACUCUGCAAAAUAGCAC